UACGUAGGGUGCAGGCGUUAAUCGGAAUUACUGGGCGUAAAGCGUGCGCAGGCGGUGAUGUAAGACAGAUGUGAAAUCCCCGGGCUCAACCUGGGAACUGCAUUUGUGACUGCAUCGCUGGAGUGCGGCAGAGGGGGAUGGAAUUCCGCGUGUAGCAGUGAAAUGCGCAGAUAUCAGGAGGAACACCGGUGGCGAAGGCGGGAUCCUGGGCCAGUACUGACGCUGAGGAGCGAAAGCGUGGGGAGCAAACAGG
rnacentral:rRNA from 1 species